GAGAGCUGAACCGCUGCACAGCAUCACACAGGUGCAUUCAUCUAGCCUUGGCCCCAGUUUCUCCUCAAUCAUUAUAUGCCAAGAAAAAAUGCCAUCUACACUAGAAGCCUGAUACCUGCAGAGGCUUGCUCUACUUUCAUGUUUGCAUAUUUCUUCCCCCCAAACACUCUGGCCGCUCACCUGAGGAGCAGCGAUGGUAAGCGCAGUGUUGGCCAGUUCUUUGUCCUGCGACUUUUCACGUGCCAGGCGAGCUGCAUCUUUCACCUCCUUAAACUUAUCGGAGAACUUUUCCAAAAAAGGGACACAGUGAACCACAGGAGAUGUACAACAUUGCGGUUGGCAUCGUAGAAGAAGGACACGGUGACGGCGUGCUUGCUGGCAGGGAUCCAGUUCCUCUUGGUGGCGGGGUCGAUUUGGAAAACAUGGGCCCGAGCGCUGAAGAUCGGCUGCUCCCUGGCGGAGGAAACACAGGGGGAAGGAUGAGAUAUGGCAAUAAUUAUUUUUGGGAGGGGGGAGACUUAGCGAAAAGUCAAUGUUCAAAUCCCUUGACAGACUUCAGGUCUAUAAACUAUGAUUUAGAGGUAACUGAACCUUUAAAACUGCCAUUUUAAUAAAACCCAAUAUUGUACAAACCCA